rnacentral:lncRNA from 1 species
GAUGGCCACAGCAUAUUCUGUAGCUGNGAAUUAGUAAAAGAAUAAAAACAAGCUAUGUAACAAGACUGGAAGGUCUGGUUUUAUUGGCACUUUCUGCUGCCAGGAUGCAAUUUACUCUUUUCAUACAAACAUUAAGAAAGCUUCAGCAGCUGAUCCUAAUUAGUGCUUUUGCAGUGACUCAUGUAAUGGAAACUGCCCCAAACAUAUUGCCAGACUGCUAAACCAAUGGCUGCUUUUGGCACCCACUGAACACAAAUGAAUGGAACCACCAUUGUUUUUCUGUUGGACUGUGCCUUCAACAGCAGUGGACAAGACAGGAAAGGUUGAACAUUUUCUGGCAGAGAGCUUUUUGGCUUGGAGAUUCUUACGUGCUGGCGACAUCCACUUUGGAGUGAUGCAUACGUGACUACCCUGGUUGAUGGUACGUUUUACCCACAUCUACUGAAACAAGAAAAAAUAAAUCUGAAGAAUUCACGCUAGCA